rnacentral:misc_RNA from 1 species
UUACACAAUAACAAGGCGGGCUGGACACCCCCCGCUGGGCACUGCUUCACGGCGUGCGCGGCGGGGCCGGCCCUGCUGAAUUAUUCACCCGUGUCUUUUGCGUACUUCUUGUUUCCUGGGUGGGCUCGCCCGCCCUCAGGACCAACCACAAACCUUUUGCAAUAGCAAUCAGCGUCAGUAACAACGUAAUUAAUUACAACUUUCAACAACGGAUCUCUUGGUUCUGGCAUCG